CGCUGAAGCUCCCAGCUUGCUGGGGGUGGAUGAGUGGCGAACGGGUGAGUAACACGUGAGUAACCUGCCCCGAACUCUGGGAUAAGCGCUGGAAACGGCGUCUAAUACUGGAUAUGUCCUAUCACCGCAUGGUGUGUAGGUGGAAAGAAUUUCGGUUCGGGAUGGACUCGCGGCCUAUCAGCUAGAUGGUGAGGUAAUGGCUCACCAUGGCGACGACGGGUAGCCGGCCUGAGAGGGUGACCGGCCACACUGGGACUGAGACACGGCCCAGACUCCUACGGGAGGCAGCAGUGGGGAAUAUUGCACAAUGGGCGCAAGCCUGAUGCAGCAACGCCGCGUGAGGGAUGACGGCCUUCGGGUUGUAAACCUCUUUUAGUAGGGAAGAAGCGCAAGUGACGGUACCUGCAGAAAAAGCACCGGCUAACUACGUGCCAGCAGCCGCGGUAAUACGUAGGGUGCAAGCGUUGUCCGGAAUUAUUGGGCGUAAAGAGCUCGUAGGCGGCUUGUCGCGUCUGCUGUGAAAACCAGAGGCUCAACCUCUGGCCUGCAGUGGGUACGGGCAAGCUAGAGUGCGGUAGGGGAGAUUGGAAUUCCUGGUGUAGCGGUGGAAUGCGCAGAUAUCAGGAGGAACACCGAUGGCGAAGGCAGAUCUCUGGGCCGUAACUGACGCUGAGGAGCGAAAGCAUGGGGAGCGAACAGGAUUAGAUACCCUGGUAGUCCAUGCCGUAAACGUUGGGAACUAGAUGUAGGGCCUGUUCCACGGGUUCUGUGUCGUAGCUAACGCAUUAAGUUCCCCGCCUGGGGA
rnacentral:rRNA from 1 species